CUCUUCUGUCAGGUUCUGUGUCACCUGGAGUGUUGACACCUUUUCCUGGUGUCAUUUCUCACAAAGCAAUCAGAUUUUUUUUUUUUAAUAUUUUAUCUUUGGUGCUUUUCGGGAUGUGUGGAAGGAGUGGGGUGGGAUAGCCCUGCAGGAAACCAUUUAAAGAAUGUAGAUAAUACCAAUCUGUGUUGACUCAUCCUGUGGGAGAGUAAUGUGCAGCCGAGCAUCCUAGUAAGUUAUUUAUCAUGCCCUGAGGCUUGAUGGAAUACAGCUUCCUUGAUGAAGAGAUAAAAAGGAACGACAUAAAAGCAAGGUUUAAAAAGAAAAGACUCAUUAAAAGUGAAUCUACCUUUUGGCUUUAACCUCUUGGAGUUUUAAAAAUUAUUAUUUAUAGGUAUUACUGAAAUUUUUCAUCACAAAAUUUUACUUUGUAUCUUUCCAGAUACAAAAUCCGACUAGGGAGAGAAUGGAGUUGGAAAGAAAUGGAAGUGCAGAGUGAUGGAAAAAACGAGAAGGAUUUGGAGAGCACACUUUUUUUCUGCCGUGACAGGCCACAGCUGGGGGAUCCGAAUGGAACUAUAGAAGAUGACAAUCCUCUUGACCUCUGAAUGGCCAGAUCACACCACAACAGCACAUGCAGGAACAUCGAGUUGGGAGACUCUUGAAGUGACCAGCAGUGGCCCAGAGUGACAUGUUCUGGAGGCCAAGUGACAGCACACCCAGAUCCACAGAAGACAGCGCUUCCAAACUCUGGCCAUCACAGACUGCUGAACAGCCCAUGAAAUCAUGGCACACCCACAGACUUCCUUCCUGAGUGGGGAGGAGCUAAGUACCUGCUACCAAAAACGGAACGGAAAAUGAAUCUAACUACCAUCUACUGCUGGUCCCUCUAUCUGAUUCAUAGAGAUGUUUAAACAGCCACAUGUGCUUCAGUGAAGUCACACAUAUCCCUGAAGUAAGUUAACCUAUUCUCCCGGGGAAGAGUCCUCUCUAUAGACAAAGUGCUGGAUCUGGACACAUUUGAAGAGCUCAGCUCCCUUGGAGUUGUAGCCCAGUUCUGGAUAGUAUGGGAAUUAGGGGAGAGCAUGGCCCCAUGGCAGCGAUGGGGCAGGAAUCCAGCACUGAAUCUUGCCAUGGGCCCUGACUUGGAGGAGGACACAUGGGCCUGAGAGGAAGAAGAUUGGAGAAAACAAAAAGCAUGGCUCAGGUUUAGGAGAUGAGAUCACAAAAUGCCAUCCCAGACAACAUGAAACAGUCACCGGCCCAGAUGGACUAUUAGAGCUCCUCACCAUUUUCAGUUUGAAGCUGUACCCCCCCCCCCCAAUGCCAUGGGGUUCCGGUGGAGUGGGGGGGACCCUCUAGGAGGCAGUUACAAAAGACAGGAUUAGUGACCCACCAGUAAGAGCUGUGAGUGAUGACAUCUCUCUGCUCAAUGAGGAUCUAGCAAGACAACACCGAUCUACAAACCAACAGAAUGCUCUGACCUGUCGCCAUUUCUGCCAGUGCCUAGCUAGCUUCCUGAAUUGUGGGAGUAAAACAUAAUUAUGUUUACUUUAAUCCACCAAGUUGCUGAAUUAUGUUAUUUCAGCCAGAGCAGCCAUUGACUUUUCAUCAAAUGAACUUUAUACAACAAGC
rnacentral:lncRNA from 1 species